AAUCAACGCUGGCGGCGUGCCUAACACAUGCAAGUCGAACGAGAAAGUGGAGCAAUCCAUGAGUAAAGUGGCGACCGGGUGAGUAACACGUGACUAACCUACCCUUGAAUGGGGAAUAACCUUCCGAAAGGAGGGCUAAUACCGCAUAAAGUCCUAAGGAUGAAACGCCUAAGGACCAAAGGAGCAAUUCGUUUAAGGAGGGGGUCGCGGUUGAUUAGCUAGUUGGUGGGGUAAUGGCCCACCAAGGCGAUGAUCAAUAGCCGGCCUGAGAGGGCGCACGGCCACACUGGAACUGAAACACGGUCCAGACUCCUACGGGAGGCAGCAGUGGGGAAUUUUGCGCAAUGGGGGAAACCCUGACGCAGCAACGCCGCGUGAAGGAUGAAGGUCUUUGGAUUGUAAACUUCUUUCGAUCGGGAAGAUAAUGACGGUACCGAGAGAAGAAGCCCCGGCUAACUUCGUGCCAGCCGCCGCAGUAAC
rnacentral:rRNA from 1 species